CAAAAAUAUUUUUUUUUUUUUUUUUUUUUUUUUAAUUUUUUUAUUUUUUUUUUUUUUUCAAGAAAGAAGUUAUUUUUUUAUUUAUUGUUUCAUUCGUUUUCAAAAUAAUUGUUUAUGAUUUGAUAUGAUUAAAAAUAUAAUUCUGUUAUAUGUAUAUAUAUAUAUAUAAAUAUAUAUAUCUCACAUCUCGAGAAAAUGCGGCGAAGUGAAACAGAGCGAGUUAAAUUACUUUAUCUUUAAAAAAAAAAUGUAUUAUUUAUAUAGAAGAAUUAAAUGAUUGAAACAACCGAUAAAAUACAAUGGAUUUUAAUUUUACGGGUUUAAAUUAUUUUCUUCUAUAUAAAGAAGAAAAAAUUUUGUAUAUAUACAUAUAUGUAUGAAAUUUUAUACUUUUACAUAAGUAAACUUCUCAUCCGAAGCUGAAAGAGAGCUAAAAGAUAUUGAAUCUGUCCUGAUCUAUAUCGAUCGAUCGCACACAAUGAUAAUAACAAGGUUUUAAUAACGAUGCCGCGAGAGCAUCCGAUUCGUUCGCAGGUGCCGCGGAAAGUGUUCCAACAAAAAAAUUCGCGUGGCUGUCGCGAGAUUUAAUUUGGUCGCGAAUUGCCUGCCCACCCUGCCCUUGCAAACUACGUUGCCUCGACAAAUGUGUCUAAUGUGUCUAAUUUAUUGAUGAUGCGAUGUAUAAUGCGACGAUAAUUAGCAAGUUAUUAGUUUAAUCUGGCAGACACAAAUUAGUUUAAUUGAGCGCUAGUAAUCUAAAAAGAAGGGUAUGUAAGAAAGAGAAAGAGUGGCGCGUGAAAAUGUGUGAGUGCACGAUCGAUGCGUGACACCAUGGUAUGUAUAUUGCAUGUGCGAGUGUGCUUUCUGGAUACUUGUUAUCCACAAUUAUAUCCACAAUUUUUCCUUCCGCUCUUUCGUUCGCAAAUUGUUAUUGCUUUAAUUUCGAAUUUUAUCGUAUAUAUAUUAGAUAGUCCAGAAAUCAAUUUCGAUUCUCAUGAUAAUAGUUCGACAUUUGCUGUAGAAUACAUUAUUGUUUUAUAAUAUGUAACAACAUUUAAUAUUAGAUGCGGGAAUAAACAUGAAGAGAAAAGAUUUUCGUAGGAAUUAUUUUUCUUAUAUAUAACUAUAUAUAUACACAUAUUUAAAUGCACAAAUGCCGAAACUUAUCUUAAGCUUAAUUAAGUAUUCGAUCAGAGAUUAAUGAUUUAAUGCAUGAUUUAGUUUUCAUUCAAAAAGUCUUGAAAAAUACACACAUAUAGAUAAGAGUCUCUUAAAAGAUCUUGAGGAAUAAGAACCGUUUUACACCGUAAACGAUCAUUUUUUGCAACAGAAGAAAAAUGACACUUCAACAUUAAACAUCUCGCAAUGUACGCGUUAGAAUCUGAAAACUUCUAAAAUUAAAAUGUACCAAACGUUUACGAAAGUCUUUCAAUUUUUUCGGAGAUAUGUUUUUUUGAACAUUGACUUUUUAAGUGAUUUUUAUCAAAUUGUCCGAGAAGAAUCCGUAAAUGAUAUAAAGUCCUUUCAUGGUAUUUUUUAAAUUAAAUAUUAAUACACACUUUUUUCUCAGAUCAAAAUUUUAUAAAAAUACGGGAAUAAUUUAUAAUUAAUUUGUAAAUAGAGAGUCUAUAAUUUGUAAAUAGUUUACAUUAUAUAAAUUUGCGUGUUUUUUUUUAUAAAUAAGGAAACUUUGUUUUCUUAAACAAAAAUUAAAACAAAUAUAAUAAAUUUUUUUUUUCUUUUUUUUUCUAGAAGCCACGCACAUUUUCUUUCAAUAUCAAAAAUAAAAAUAAAUAUUUGAUUUGAAAUAAGUUUAUGGAAAACAAAUAGAGAAAAAUGAUCGAAAUGAAAAUACAUUUUAUCAUAUAUGUACACAUAUAUAUUUAGAUAUAAAAUGCAAUUUAAUAUUUGAUAUAAUUUUAUGUAUGAAAAAUGCUAUAUAUGAUAAAAUAUAUUUUGCAAUUUCAAAGCUUCAUGUUUCUCUCUCUAUUUAUUUUCUAAUAAAAUUUGAAAAUAUUUGAAUAAAGCACGUAUUAUUCUUAUAUCUAGAAUUUGGUGGAUUAUGUCAUAGAAAAUAAAUUAUUUACUCGAUAAUUUCACAUCAUCAAAGUGUGUUCAGUGGAAAGCUUGAUAAUAAUAUAUAUUUGCUUCUUUUUGAAUCAAAUAAUCUCAUUACAUAUUUUCGAGUGAAUCGAGUAACGGAGAUGAUAUAGAUUAAUUUAAUCAUAUUUUAUAUUAUCAUUAUUGUUCUCGAACAUGGAAAAUGAAUGUAGAAAAAAUUGUUGGAUUCAGAAGAACACAUUAUUAUCAGUAAAAAUUUUUUGAUCAAGAUCAUAAAAUUUUCAAAAAUUCAACGUUCUUUUAAAUAUGAAACUAUGCAAUUUUUCAACAUCACAUAGAAACACUCGUAUUCUUCUAGUCAUUCUACGUAAAAAAAAUAUUAAAAAUAUGUCAAAAAGUUUAUGAAAUAUUUUGUUUUUUAUCUUUCAAUGUUCUGUGUGUGUGACAAAGUAUGAAAUAUUUCAUAUAGUAUUUAAGAUUCACUUCGUCUCAUGAUCUUAUCUUAAUUUUUUUUACCGAUAAUUGCAUGUCCUAUUAUAAAAUCAUACUAUAAUCAAUACUAUAAUCUAUACAAGUUAUUAUUAUUUAUUAUUAAUAUUUUAAUCAUAAUUACUUUUAUAUAUUAGUUUUUAAUAAUGUAAUGAAUAAUUAUUUAAUAAUUUAAAAAUGCAGAAUGGCAUAAUAUAAAUAUUUUGAUAAUGAUAAUGAUUCGAAUAAUGAUGAUUGACAUUAAUUAUAAUUAUGUAUUUAUAAUCAAUUAUAUAAUUAAUUUUUACACUUCUUAUAAAGCAGUGUUUGCACGAGUACGGAUGACCGAAUUCAUUAUUAGAUUCUUGCCUAGAAAAUUUUUUUUCUUGAUUAUCAAGUUUUUCAUUCGUAAUUUUAUCAAACGAAUUCAUGCGCAAUUAUAUAAUACUUCUGAGAUUGUCAAUAAAUAAUAUACUUGUCUGAUUUUAGUUAUUGAUACAUACACAUACACGCACACACACACACACACACACAGUCUUCGUCGAGAAAUAUCGUAUUCUCAAGGUCGCGUGUUUGUCGAUACGAUUAAUUUUCAUGCCCGAAGACUGAGACAAAAGGAUUUAUGAUGGUUCCGUCAAAAUGGAGUGCCGAGCCGCGUCUACUGCGAUUGUCAUAUAUAAGAGUCCUUGAUAACUAUUUACAGGAUCUGCCAUAUAUAGCAUCGGAGUCGCUCGUGCACUUAUUAAGCUUGUGCCUCUUUAUCUUAAGCGUCUUCGACCUACAUUCCACGUGCUUUAUUAUCUUAAGCGUAGAUAAGACCCACUCUACGCUCUAGAAGAUAUAGAUUAUUUCCGUUUUCUUAUCUCAAAUUUCAAAACAUCGGUGAUUAAUUUUUCAUGGAAUAGGUAACAUUGUAUGAAUAUGACAAUUGUGAUUAUAGUUAAAUAUUUGUGAUUGUACAGAUAUUUUGGAUAGAAUAAGGCUAUAUCGAAAGGAAAGAUAAUUUAAUAUUUAGAUAUGAAAAUUUCCAAAAUUAUUCGUUCACAAUAAUCAGGCAAAUUUUGAUCUUUUUUAUCGGAUCUUUUAUUCAAUAGGCAGUAUAGUCACUUUGGUACUGAGCGCCACUUCCAUUUCUCGCCUAUAUAUAUAUUUUUUUUUUUAUUGUCAAGUCCAUUCUAGAUUCUCAAAUUUCACAGAACACCUUGUAACAGAACAUUGCACUGCCACAGAUUCGGGUCUCAUAUUUUUCCCUUUAUUAUUUUUUUAUAAUUAUUUCUAUUUCUCUACUUAAAUUUCAAAUGCUAUUCUUAAAUUUAUUUUAUUGAUUAUAUAUUAAUGCUAUAUGUGUUUUGAGAUUCUCACAAUUUGCUUUUGUUAAUAAAUCAGAGAUAUUUAAUUUUAGUGAUGAUCUGAAAAUAUUUUUUGAAGAUAUUUAAAAAACUGAGAUCUUUCUAAAACCCAAAAAAAUUUUCGACAAAGUUUAAUUUCUGUUAAAAAGUCAAUGUUUAAAAGAGAGUCUCCGAAAAAAAUAUAUAUUUAGUAAAUGAGAAAAAGCUGGAUAAGUAGAUUUGGUACAUUAGCUGAAAACCAAUUUACUUAUUUUUAUUUUGAUUAAUAACGUUUAUUCUUACGCAGGGAGGAAUUAAUUAAUUAGCGCUAGAAAUCGAAAUUUAUUUCUGGGCAAAUAAUCGCGUUAGAGAACCAACACUUGACUGAAUGUGACAUAAUAAUGAUUCAAUGGUUCUCUCUUCAAUUUGUGUAUUAAUUAUCUUAACUUGAUACAGUAUGUAUCAAUUAAAUCAAAUAUUGGGUCAUUUGUCUCGUGACCUAAAUUAAUUGUAUUUUAAAAUAAUCACUUUUCAUGCUGAAGAAGCAAAAUUCAACGCGUCAUUUUGUGAGCAAUUUAAGUUUAGAUUUCGAUUUAAUUAAUUUUUUUUUUAAAUUUCUUUUCCUGAUGUAUUUUACGGCGAAAGAACGGAAAGUGAUGGAAUUCUUCGUCGAUUAUUCAAGAUCACUUUGGAUCAGCCGCGUAAAUGUAUCUUAUACGUUCUGUUGCUCUUGUGUUUUUAAAGCAGUGGACCUAUUCUCUGCAGAUAAAAAUGAAAUGUAAAAAUUUUAAAAAUGAGAAUAAAAAUUUGAAAAAAAAGAAACAGAAAAUUGAGAUAGAAUACAUGAAAUAUGUAAAGCAAAGACGUAAAGCCUGUUAUAGACAGUAAUCCAAUUUUAUACCAAAUGACUUAUAAAAUUAGAACCGAUAUGGAAAAUUCUCGUCGACUGCGAAAUAAAAUCGAAGCUAACCGGAAGCCAAUUUUCGAGUCGAACGUAAAACAUUAAAAAAAAAAAAACCUUUCGGUAUUUUUCUCGUAAGUGUAAUGUGUAUAUACGAGAGAGAAAUAUCGGGGCUCUUCAGCCUCUGAUUAACAUGUGUGAGAGCAAUAAAAAUCGAAGUCAAGGAACCCACGUGAUCUGAAGAAACCUCGAGAUUUUUUUACAAGGUAGGACCUGCGAUCACAAUGCAUUCAGUUAUUGCACUCCGCUGUAACUGUUGCAUCGCGCAUUUUCUUGCUAUUUCUCAUGAUUGUCACUUUAAUCUUUCCACCAAAUUUUGCCAGAUUCUCAAUUCGUUAUUUUUCAAACGCGAUUAUUAAAAUAAUAUAUAUUAAAAUUUUAUUUUGAUAUUUUUUUAUCCCUUUUUUUUAUCUCUUUAUUCCUCGAGCAAUUAUAAUGAAUGCGUGAAAUAAAGUAUUAUAGUAAAUAUGUCUGGGCUGCAUUCCAAGAACGAUCGGCUAACAUUUUAUAAAAAAACCAGAGUAAGCUGAUUCGAAUAAAUUCAAAAUGAGAAAUAGUGGAAAAGCGUAAUGAAGGAGUCAGACUGCGUCUCGUGGACGCUCGGAAUCGCAGUAGCGGAAUUUGCGUUUCACAAGGACUCUUGUUAGACGCGAUCUAUGUAAAUUAAGACUAAGGAGGUUUAAAGAAAUAAUAUUCCUCAUCUCAAAAGCGAGGAUCAUCAGAGUCGCCUCUGAUUGCACUCUAUUUUUUUUUAACAAACAUGCUCCCAUCCAUAUAUUAUUACGCGUUUUAAAACGAACGCGAGUCUUCUAUUUUAGAGUAGGGUUUUGGAGUACAACCCUCUCUGGACUUAUUAUAACGAGCGAUCUCACGUCUAUUUAAAUGUAAGUUUUUACGCGUUUUCAGCGUAUUAUGACACAUUAGCGGUAUCAUAUAACUGACACAUAAACUGAGAUACAAAACUUAUAAGUAUAUAAUGCCUUAAUGUUAAUGAUAAUAUCGGAAGCGUUAUUGUAUAAUUAGCUGAGACAGGAAGGGGCGGAGAUACUUGUGGUGGAAAGGAAACCAGGCCAACAUACAAAAUGCCGAAGACGCGAUCGAUGUCUCCAUUUUGUUCGCGAUAUUUGAUAUUUUCUUAUAAUUCCAAUAAAAUGAGAGAGAGAGAGAGAGAGAAAAAGAAAGAGUGUGUAAGUGAAGUGUGUCCCAUAGCGAAUUGCUAUCUAAAAUAGUUCAAGCUAGAUGUCGAUGUUUGUAGCAGAUAAAGAACAAUGCAACGCAGCAUAUUGUAAUUAAAAAAAUUAAAAACUCAUUAAUAUCA